rnacentral:rRNA from 1 species
AUUGAACGCUGGCGGCAGGCUUAACACAUGCAAGUCGAGCGGAGCGGCGGACGGGUGAGUAAUGCCUCGGAAUCUGCCUGGUAGUGGGGGAGAACGUCCGGAAACGGGCCCUACUACCGCACACUAUCAGAUGAGCCAAGGUCGGAUUAGCUAGUUGGUGGGGUAAAGGCCUACAAGGGCGACGUGCCGUAACUGGCAGGAGAGGCUGAUCAGUCAAACUGGAAAGGAGACACGAUCCAGACUCCUCCGGGAGGCAGCAGUGGGGAAUAUUGGACAAUGGGCGAAAGCCUGAGCCAGCCAUGCCGCGUGUGUGAAGAAGGUCUUCGGAUUGUAAAGCACUUUAAGUUGGGAGGCGUUCCCAACAGAAUAAGCACCGGCUAACUUCGUGACAGCAGCCGCGGUAAUUC